rnacentral:rRNA from 1 species
GAGUUUGAUCCUGGCUCAGAACGAACGCUGGCGGCGUGGAUAAGACAUGCAAGUCGAACGAGAGAAUUGCUAGCUUGCUAAUAAUUCUCUAGUGGCGCACGGGUGAGUAACACGUGAGUAACCUGCCCCCGAGAGCGGGAUAGCCCUGGGAAACUGGGAUUAAUACCGCAUAGUAUCGAAAGAUUAAAGCAGCAAUGCGCUUGGGGAUGGGCUCGCGGCCUAUUAGUUAGUUGGUGAGGUAACGGCUCACCAAGGCGAUGACGGGUAGCCGGUCUGAGAGGAUGUCCGGCCACACUGGAACUGAGACACGGUCCAGACACCUACGGGUGGCAGCAGUCGAGAAUCAUUCACAAUGGGGGAAACCCUGAUGGUGCGACGCCGCGUGGGGGAAUGAAGGUCUUCGGAUUGUAAACCCCUGUCAUGUGGGAGCAAAUUAAAAAGAUAGUACCACAAGAGGAAGAGACGGCUAACUCUGUGCCAGCAGCCG